rnacentral:rRNA from 1 species
UACGAAGGGUGCAAGCGUUAAUCGGAAUUACUGGGCGUAAAGCGUGCGUAGAUGGUUUGUUAAGUCGAAUGUGAAAGCCCCGGGCUCAACCUGGGAACUGCAUCCGAAACUGGCAGACUAGAGUGUGGUAGAGGAUGGCGGAAUUCCCGGUGUAGCGGUGAAAUGCGUAGAGAUCGGGAGGAACAUCCGUGGCGAAGGCGGCCAUCUGGACCAACACUGACGUUGAGGCACGAAAGCGUGGGGAGCAAACAGG